rnacentral:rRNA from 1 species
AUUGAACGCUGGCGGCAUGCUUUACACAUGCAAGUCGAACGGUAACAGGCCUUCGGGUGCUGACGAGUGGCGCACGGGUGAGUAAUGCAUCGGAACGUGCCCAGAGGUGGGGGAUAACGCAGCGAAAGCUGUGCUAAUACCGCACGUGAUCUGAGGAUGAAAGCGGGGGACCAAGCAGCAAUGUUUGGCCUUGCGCCUCUGGAGCGGCCGAUGUCAGAUUAGGUAGUUGGUGGGGUAAAGGCCUACCAAGCCGACGAUCUGUAGCUGGUCUGAGAGGACGACCAGCCACACUGGGACUGAGACACGGCCCAGACUCCUACGGGAGGCAGCAGUGGGGAAUUUUGGACAAUGGGCGCAAGCCUGAUCCAGCAAUGCCGUGUGCGGGAAGAAGGCCUUCGGGUUGUAAACCGCUUUUGUACGGAACGAAAAGGCUCUGGCUAAUACCUGGGGCUGAUGACGGUACCGUAAGAAUAAGCACCGGCUAACUACGUG